UUUUUUUUUUUUAAAAGUAUCCCAUAGCGGAAAGUCUUAUUCAUCGAGCGUCAUCUCUUUUCUCAACAAUCCCAAUAAGUCUUGAGGGGUCCACAUAUUGGCGAACAUCGCCGACCUUGAAGAAAGAUCAAAGAUUAUGUGGUCCACAACAGAGAUGAAGUUCCACAUUGCCCCACAAGGUCUACGAAAACCUAACCCACCUUCUUUGACCCAAUAGCCACAUGAAAAAGAGGGGCGGCAAACCAACUUUACAAUUCCGAGUAUGAAGCCACAAGUUGGAUUCCGUCAACCAAUGAUCCUUCGAAACGUUCCAAGCAGAUCUACCAAUGUUAGAUCUCAACCCGCACGUGCCAGGACCCACAUCAAUUGGAACCCAUAACAAAAAUCAAUUUAACUUUCUAGAAAUGAAUAGAAACAACAAAUGGUAUCCUCUCCUAUUACGAUUCGGUAGA
rnacentral:misc_RNA from 1 species